GCCUGGGUGACUCAGUUGGUUAAGUGUCAGCCUUCAGCUCAGGUCAUGAUCCUGGGGUCCUGGGAUCAAGCCCCGGCUCAGGCU
rnacentral:tRNA from 1 species